GCUAACGCAAGUGUUCUGUUCACACAGAAGUAAUAAGAACUAGUGAGCGAGAGCGGCUUGGUUAGUGUGCUUCAAGCCAUUCUCUAAAUCAGUAAUGAUUCAAAAGCGCCGAUACUUUUACAGGCUUUAUGUUGUAUUGCUGCUGGCUGUAUUUCUAAUCGCAAAUAUUCUAUGUCAAACCGCAGGUCGUGGUCCCAAAAAGAAGAUGCGGUAUUACGACCCACACUGUAGUACAAGUAAGGACUGUAAGUUUGGAAUGUGCUGCCGAAAAAAGCGCGGAAUAGCAACUUGUCGUCCUAAAGCGCGGUACGGUAGACGCUGUACAGCACGUCCAAUCAGGGGAACCUAUGAUGGACAUUGCAAUUGUGCCUACGGCCAAGGGAUGUGUCUUCAUGGUAUAUGUACAUAAGGCAGUGUGAGACACUAUCAUUUCCCGUACAAUGCUUUCUUUGAAAAGCUAAUAAGCGCUAAUCUAGAAUUUGUGAGAAAAAUACAGGAAAAAACAUACACACAUAAAAACA